AUUGAACGCUGGCGGCAGGCCUAACACAUGCAAGUCGAGCGGAGCGGCGGACGGGCGAGUAAUGCCUAGGAAUCUGCCCGGUAGUGGGGGAUAACGUCCGGAAACGGGCGCUAAUACCGCAUACUACCAGAUGAGCCUAGGUCGUAUUGGCGAGUUGGUGGGGUAAAGGCCUACCAAGGCGACGAUCCGUAACUGGUCUGAGAGGAUGAUCAGUCACACGGGAACUGAGACAGGGUCCAGACUCCCACGGGAGGAAGCGGGGGGGAAUAUUGGACAAGGGGGGAAGGCCUGAUCCACCCAUGCCGCGUAUGUGAAGAAGGUCUUCGGAUUGUAAAGCACUUUAAGUUGGGAGGCGUUACCAGAAGAAUAAGCACCGGCUAACUUCGUGCCAGCGGCCGCGGUAAUUC
rnacentral:rRNA from 1 species